UACGGAGGGGGCGAGCGUUGUUCGGAAUUACUGGGCGUAAAGGGCUCGUAGGUGGCCAACUAAGUCAGACGUGAAAUCCCUCGGCUUAACCGGGGAACUGCGUCUGAUACUGGAUGGCUUGAGUUCGGGAGAGGGAUGCGGAAUUCCAGGUGUAGCGGUGAAAUGCGUAGAUAUACGGAGGAACACCAGCGGCGAAGGCGGGUAGCUGGGCCGAACACUGACGCUGAUGCGCGAAAGCCAGGGUAGCAAACGGG
rnacentral:rRNA from 1 species